GACGAACGCUGGCGGCGUGCCUAAUACAUGCAAGUAGAACGCUGAAGCAGGAGCUUGCUUCUCUGGAUGAGUUGCGAACGGGUGAGUAACGCGUGGGUAACCUGCCCGGUAGUGGGGGAUAACUAUUGGAAACGAUAGCUAAUACCGCAUAAUAGCAGUUGUUGCAUGAUAACUGUUUGAAAGGUGCAAUUGUACCGCUACCAGAUGGACCUGCGUUGUUUUAGCGAGUUGGUGGGGUAACGGCUCACCAAGGCGACGAUACAUAGUCGACCUGGGAGGGGGGUCGGCCACACCGGGAAUGGGACCCGGCCCCGACUCCCACGGGAGGCAGCCGUAGGGAAUCUUCGGCCAUGGACGGAAGUCUGACCGAGCAACGCCGGGUGAGUGAAGAAGGGUCUCGGAUCGUAAAGCUCCGUUGUAAGGGAAGAACGAGUGUGGGAGUGGAAAGUUCACACUGUGACGGUAUCUUACCAGAAAGGGACGGCUAACUACGUG
rnacentral:rRNA from 1 species